UAAUAUAAUAUUAUGAAUAAACUUUUAAUUUUAUUAAGUGAAAUUUCUAAAAUUGGAUAGUAUUUUUGUUAUUUUUAUGAGGUUAAAAAGUUUAGGUCUUAGACUAGGAUUAGAUACCCUAUUAUUCUAAAUUUAAUCUGUGUUACUUGGUUAGUAGUAGUUAUGACCUUGAAAAUUAAAGAAGUUGGCGGUAUUUUAGUCUAUUCAGAGGAACCUGUCCUGUUAUUGAUGGUCCACGAUUUUUUAUACUUAUUUUAUUAGUUUGCAUAUCGCCGUAGAUUGAAUAUUUUUAAAAAAUUGCAAUGUUCAAUAAUUUUUAUGAGAAAAGAAUUCAGGUCAAGGUGUAGCUUAUAAAUAAGAAGAGAUGGGUUACAAUAAAUGUAUUUAGACGGAUUAAUAGAUGUAAUUUUAUUAUGAAGAUGGAUUUGAAGGUAAUUAUAUUCAAAUUUAUAUAAUGAUUCUAGCUCUAAAAUAUGUACAU
rnacentral:rRNA from 1 species